GGGGGGGCCCCCUUAAUAUUUGCAUGCUGAGCGAAUUGGAUUAAGAGCUUUGCUCUUAUUGAAGUUUGCGGCGGACGGGUGAGAUACACGUGGGUUACCUUGCCCAUAGACUGGGAUACUCCGGGAAACCGGGGCUAUACCGGAUACAUUUUGAACCGCAUGGUUCGAAAUUGAAAGGCGGCUUCGGCUGUCACUUAUGGAUGGACCCGCGUCGCAUUAGCUAGUUGGUGAGGUAACGGCUCACCAAGGCAACGAUGCGUAGCCGACCUGAGAGGGUGAUCGGCCACACUGGGACUGAGACACGGCCCAGACUCCUACGGGAGGCAGCAGUAGGGAAUCUUCCGCAAUGGACGAAAGUCUGACGGAGCAACGCCGCGUGAGUGAUGAAGGCUUUCGGGUCGUAAAACUCUGUUGUUAGGGAAGAACAAGUGCUAGUUGAAUAAGCUGGCACCUUGACGGUACCUUAAACCCCCCCAAGGAAAAAAAGGGCCCAACCGGGGCCUUAAAACCUUAACCCGUUGGCCCCAAGGCCAAGGCCCCGGCCGGGUUAAAAUAAACCGGUUAAGGGGUGGGGCCCAAGCCGGGUUUAUUUCCCCGGGAAAAUUUAAUUUUGGGGGCGGUUAAAAAGCCCCCGGGGGCCAAGGGGUGGGGUUUCUUUUUUAAAAGUCUUUUGAAUUGUGGAAAAAGGCCCCCACCGGGCUUCCAAACCCCGGUGGGAAGGGGGUUCCAUUUGGGAAAAACCUGGGGAGGAACCUUUGAAGUUGCAAGAAAAAGAAGGGAAAAAGUUGGAAAUUUUCCCAUUGUGGUAAGGCGGGUGAAAAAUGGCGGUAAGAAGAAUAUUGGGAGGGAAACACCCCAAGUGGGCCGAAAGGGCGAACCUUUCUUUGGUCUUUGUAAACUUGAGCACCUGAGGGGCGGCGGAAAAGCCGUGGGGGAGGCAAAACAAGGAAUUAGAAUAACCCCUGGUAAGUUCCACCGCCCGUAAAACGAAUGAAGUGGCUAAAGUGUUAAGAAGGGGUUUCCGCCCCUUAAGUGCUGAAAGUUAAACGCAUUAAAGCACUCCGCCUGGGGAGUACGGCCGCAAAGGCUGAAAAUCAAAGGAAAUGAACGGGGGCCCGCACCAAGCGGGGGAGCAAGUGGUUUAAUUCGAAACAAACGCGAAGAACCUUAACCAAGUCUUGACAUCCUCUGACAAACCUAAAGAAAAGGGCUUCUCCUUCGGGAACAGAAUGACAAGUGGUGCAAGGUUGUCGUCAACUCGUGUCCUGAGAAGUUGGGUUAAAUCCCGCAAACGAAGCGCAAACCCUGAUUUUAAGUUGCCAUCCUUAAAUUGGGCCCUUUAAAGGUGGCUGCCGGUGGCAAACCGGAGGAAAGUGGGGAAGACGUCAAAUCAUCAAGCCCCUUAUGGCCUGGGGUACCCCCGUGGUUCAAAGGGCGGACAAAAAACUGCAAAGGCCCCGAAGGUGGAAGGUAAUUUCAAAAAAACGUUUUCAAUUUGGAUUGUUGGGUGCAAAUUGCCUACCAGAAAGCCGGAAUCGGUUGAAUCGCGGGUCAAGCCUGCCGCGGUGAAUACGUUUCCGGGCCUUGUACCCCCCGCCCCUCACCCCCCGAAAGUUUGAAACCCCCCAAAGUCGGUGGGGAAACCUUUUUGAAGCCAAGCCGCCCAAACGGUGGAGCACAGUGAUUGGGGAACCGUCAUAAAAAAGUUACUGGGGGU
rnacentral:rRNA from 1 species